GAAGAGUUUGAGAGUAAGCAUUACACAAUCUCCAAGAUGAUUUUUUUGAAUAAAAGAGAAUAGAUCAUCCAUUUUUCUACCGCAUAUCCUAGUUUGACACCAAGCAAUGAAGCUCUUUUGUAAACGAAGAGUUUGAGAGUAAGCAUUACACAAUCUCCAAGAUGAUUUUUUUGAAAAAAAGAGAAUAGAUCAUCCAUUUUUCUACUGCAUAUCCUAUUUUGGCACCAAGCAAUGAAGCUCUUUCUCUAAAAGAAUUUUCAUAAAUUCUUUUCUACUAAAAGUUUGUCAUUAACCAAAAAUCAUGAAUAGUCAUUUGUUGGGCUAAAGUAUAAACACCAUAAUCUAUACUUUGUUCUAUAUCUAUAUACUAUAGAUAUAGGUUACUAUAGAGAUAGGUGGAUAAAUAUUUUUCUUUAG
rnacentral:lncRNA from 1 species